AGGAGACCAUCAUAAUUGACGCAAGCACUAGGAGCUCCUGCUCAACUUGCAGCUCGGGAUCAGGUGGGUUGCUUCGGUCAUCUCCCUUCGUCAGCGAGUCUGAAUUACGAUGUGUUCAAGGAAUAUAGUCAAGACUAAAAUAUUUGCAUUUGCUUUCAGUACCUUUGCUCCACGCAGAGUUAUAGGAAUAUAGUAAAGACUAAAAUAUGUGUUCAUCUGGAAGCCUAUAUAGACGCUAAACAAUAUUUUAGUGUGUCAUCACCUGCAUAGACUUUUCUCCCGUAAUAGUGUACUUCCAGUUUG
rnacentral:lncRNA from 1 species